rnacentral:rRNA from 1 species
UAUGCACUAUUUUCUUCAGUACGAAAGGACCAAGAAAAUAGGACCUACAUCUAUAACAAGUCCUCUCAUUUUCGAAACAAUAUCAAACCUACAGUAUCCCACCCCUCCUAAAACAGGAC